AUCGCUUCUCGGCCUUUUGGCUAAGAUCAUUUGUAGUUUCUGUUCUUAUCAGCUUAAUAUCUGAUACGGGCCUAAUUGGUCCAAGAUAUUAAACUUAUUUUUGCAAUUGGCGUCCCUACGAAGCUUGCUUUCGAGGGCGCUAGGGUCGACCCGGUAUUGCACUACUUCCGGGAGUGGCCCGCCCCCC